UUUUAUUGACGAAACACUUGAAUUUCUUGAAAUCAACUCGAAGUUUAAUCCAACCAAUGGUACAUGCGCAUAAUCGCGUUCUCGUUGCUUGUCACGGGGCCCGCUACGUUUCCGUGAGUGCGAUUUACGCCGUGAGCGUGGUCGUCGGUCGAAGCCAGGAUAAGCGGCGUUUUAUGGGGCCCCAUGCGCCGCUCACUCCAUGGCGGAAGGGACGCACUUUGUUCCGCGGCUGCGAAUGUAUCCCCAGGCCUCGAUCCACCCACAAGGAAGCACUUGAAGAAAGAGAGAGAUGCCUUGUCGCGGAAAGAAGAUUGUGGUCCAUACGACGUGAAACUAACAUCGUCUAUUUCUGGACACCCUGUAUGAGAAGAUAAGUCGAAAGACAGCAGCGGAGAAGCAGCUAGGCGCAAGAAGGAGUGACGGAGGGAGGCAGAAGAAGAGAGACUCGGCAGAAAAAGCAGAUGUUCAUCAUAUAAAACACCAUCUAAUUAUAAGAAAAACAACCAACAACUUAUGACACAAUAGUAAUAAGAAAAUUGAUAAUACAUUGGAGAAUGAUUGGUUCCAACAAGGAUUCUUGGAAGGGCGGGGUCCGCCUUCUAAUUCAUAGGCGGUGUAAUUUGUGCGUCGCCGACUAAUUGGCGGCGUUUCGCGAUUUAUGCUGUGACACCACUCGUAACAUCUGCCCCCGCUGCACAACGCCAUCACAUCCCUCGGAUGCCCCGAAGGAGCCGCAUGAUACCGGCCAAUCAUACAUAUUAAUGGAACUCACGGGCCAACGCCGAGCCCUGAAAUUGUUCGUGCAAUCGAUUCGAGCCGGUCGAAUCGAGAUGCCAACAUGAGAUAAACCUCUAGUCUAACGUUUUCCAACCUUUUUCGGGAAUCCAUCCCAAUCCAAAGAGUUUUUACAUUUUAUAUUAUUGAAUCAUGUUUUUAGAAUAAAUUUCAAUAGUUUAGUUUAGAUUAGAUUAUUAUUUUUUAGUUUAGAUUAUAAAACAAAUUUUUUUCAUCUUAGAAAGUAAGAGAGAGCAGAGUUAAUGUAAAAAUAUAUAAUAUUUGCUAUUUCAUUUUUACAGAUUUAAUGCUAUUGUGCAAAACAAUAAUUUGAGUGACCAGUGCAUUUGGAUCUUUCUAAUAUUUCAAACAUAUUUUAUGGAAUAUUUUUUGGAAAUAAAAAUAUGGCACAGAAUGUUAAUUUUUAAAAAAUCUGUGAUGAAGACUAGUGAUUAAUUCGAUAUUUUAAAAA